UUAAGGUGGUUGAAGACUUGAAUGAGCUCUUGAAAGGUUGGUGAACUUGAAAUAAAAGCUUCUUGAACUUUUAAGAGGGCUCUUGCUUAGGGUUGAAAUGAAUGCUUGAAGAACCAUUUCAAAACCUUAUUGAUUCUCUCUUUUAAGUGCCUUUUAUAACUUCAAAUGAUGGUGGAGAGUAAUCUGAGCUGAAAUAGAGCCA
rnacentral:lncRNA from 1 species